rnacentral:rRNA from 1 species
CGCGUGAAGCAGGUGGAUCCCUUCGGGGUGACACCUGUGGAUCGAGCGGCGGACGGGUGAGUAACACGUGGGCAACCUGCCUGUAAGACUGGGAUAACCCCGGGAAACCGGGGCUAAUACCGGGUAAUACCGGACUCCGCAUGGAGUCCGGUUGAAAGAUGGCUUCUUGCUAUCACUUACAGAUGGGCCCGCGGCGCAUUAGCUAGUUGGUGAGGUAACGGCUCACCAAGGCAACGAUGCGUAGCCGACCUGAGAGGGUGAUCGGCCACACUGGGACUGAGACACGGCCCAGACUCCUACGGGAGGCAGCAGUAGGGAAUCUUCCGCAAUGGACGAAAGUCUGACGGAGCAACGCCGCGUGAACGAUGAAGGUCUUCGGAUCGUAAAGUUCUGUUGUCAGGGAAGAACACGUACCGUUCGAACAGGACGGUACCUUGACGGUACCUGACGAGGAAGCCCCGGCUAACUACGUGCCAGCAGCCGCGGUAAUACGUAGGGGGCAAGCGUUGUCCGGAAUUAUUGGGCGUAAAGCGCGCGCAGGCGGUUCCUUAAGUCUGAUGUGAAAGCCCACGGCUCAACCGUGGAGGGUCAUUGGAAACUGGGGAACUUGAGUACAGAAGAGGAGAGUGGAAUUCCACGUGUAGCGGUGAAAUGCGUAGAUAUGUGGAGGAACACCAGUGGCGAAGGCGAC